UUCUCUUUUGUCUCCGAAGGCUAAAAGGUUUAUUAGAUCGUGAAAAAGAGGAACUCGCAGAAGCAGAAAUCAUUAAAGACUCUCCGGAUUCCCCAGAGCCGCCCAACAAGAAGCCUCUUGUUGUAAUGGAAGACUUGCCAGGGCUGGAAAAAAAUAAAGGGCCAAUAUCCCUUCUGUCUCUUUGGAGCAACAGGAUUAAUGCUGCAAAUUCUAGAAAACAUCAAGAAUUUAUUGGCCGCUUAAAUUCUGUCAACAAUAAGGCUGAACUGUAUCAACAUCUUAAAGAGGAGAAUGGAAUGGAAACCACAGAAAAUGGAAAACCGAGCCGGCAGUGAAUUCUGGGAUAUAGAGCCGUUUUUGUUCAAGCCUGAUCUCUUAUCUAACUGUACAGUUCUCUACUUUGAUUGCUUUUUAC